ensembl:lncRNA
GGUCACCGCACGGAGCCUGGACUGUAGGGAAGAGUAGAAGCCCAGGGAGCAAGCUGGAGGCAACCGAGCAUAGCCAGAGUGAGAAACAAUAGCGUGACCAGAGUGGAGGAAGAAAAGCGCUGAGAAGGGGUCAGACUCUGGUUCUGUUUCAAAGGCAGAGCCAGCAGAAUUUUUGGACAGAAUGGAUGUGUGGUGUAAAAGAGGGAUCAAACUCAGGACCUUGUGCUUGUGACGCAGACAUGCCACCACUGAGCUAAAUCCCCAGCCCCAAUUGAGAUGUUUUAUGGACCAACACUGUUUUAUGCUGAAGAAUGUUCCAUGUGGACUUAAGAUAUGGAGUAUCUUUUCCCACCUGCUAUGGUUUGAAUAUCUUCCCUCCAAGAUUCAGGGAUCAAAUUCAGGACCUUGCACCUAUGAGGCAGGCAGCAGAACCACUGAAGUAAAUCCCUGGAAUAACUAGGAAAGAGAAAACCAGGGAACUAUGACAGGCUAGGAGAGUAAGGCUGAGGGUGAAGAUGUGAAAACGGCGGAG